GUGCCAGCCGCCGCGGUAAUACCGGCAGCCCGAGUGAUGGCCGAUAUUAUUGGGCCUAAAGCGUUCGUAGCCGGCCAGUCAAGUCUGUUGGGAAAUCCACGCGCUCAACGCGUGGGCGUCCGACGGAAACUGCACAGCUUGGGACCGGAAGGCUCGAAGGGUACGUUCGGGGUAGGAGUGAAAUCCCAUAAUCCCGCACGGACCACCGAUGGCGAAAGCACUUCGAGAAAACGGAUCCGACAGUGAGGGACGAAGGCCAGGGUCUCCAACCGGAUUAGAUACCCUAGUAGUCC
rnacentral:rRNA from 1 species